AAUUAAUUUAGAUCUUGCAUAAACCGUGUUUACUACGUAAACUUCAACAUAAUUACUGUCCUGUGAGAACGGACGGACGGACAAGGGUAAAUCUAAAUGCCCGCCUGCUAACGUGGGGGCACAAAAAUAAAAUGCCUUUAGAUAUAGACAGUCUUCAAGCCAAAUCUUUGGCAUAACCCAAGCAAGCUGAAGCAGCACAUAAUGGAAUGUGUUUCUGCUGUCACUGUCAUGCUACUGACUUGCUGUCCAACUUAACCUGGCAAAUGUUAUAGUUACUGAGCUGAAAGCUUUUUUUAUGAUUACUGACUGUAAAUUGUAUGAGUUAAAUGUGUGAAUGUGAUAGAAAUGUAACUACCAAAAUAAAUUUGGAUAUACAUGUA